AUGUUGUACCACCAAUCUCACGGACGCAAAGCACCUCAAGGGAAAAGGCUUGAAGCCAACUUCAACCUUCAUCCGCAUAGCGCAAAUGGAGUUGGCGAUUCCCACGAUGUUCCUCCUGGACCGAGCAACGCCAUGAUUCCUUAUCCUCUUGAGGACCCUGCUGAAACGGAGGCCAUGUUGCUUGAGUACACCUCAAACAAUAUGUUUGGCGACUUUGACUAGUCCCUCGAUCUCCUCAGUGAUCUACUUAAUUAUGUCCAUUUGUGAUGAUUGUAAUAAGAACAUAAGUUUGUUGUUGUCUUUGUAUCAUAUUGUAUUGUAUCAGCAGAUUUGAUAAAAUAAGAUUGUAUUCCAUGUAUUAAAAAAGGUUUUAUUAUUGAAAA
rnacentral:lncRNA from 1 species